rnacentral:hammerhead_ribozyme from 1 species
GUACUGCUGAAGAGUCCCAACAGACGAGGACGAAACAGCUGUCCAGUAG